GUGAAUCAUCAAAUUUUUGAACGCAAAUUGCGCUUCCUAGCAUCCCGGGAAGUAUGCCUGUUUGAGGGUCAGUAUUAAUAAAAAAUUGGGUUUGGUUGCAAUUUGUGACGUUUCGGGAGUUUGGGCUAUUUUACAUUUUUUGGUUAAGGGGCUUAAAAUUGACCUUUUUUGGGAAUUUUUAGACGUAGUUAAUUUUUUUUUUUAUUCGUUUAUUAUUUAUGCAAACUUAUUAUUAGAUGUGACAUCAUGGUG
rnacentral:misc_RNA from 1 species